rnacentral:tRNA from 1 species
GUGGCGAAAUCGGUAGACGCAGCAGACUCAAAAUCUGCCGUUCGCAAGAACGUGCUGGUUCGAUUCCAGUCUAGGGCA